rnacentral:rRNA from 1 species
AGCUUAUAUUUGGUAGCAAUAUUGAUUAUGAGCAAGUGGCGAACGGGUGAGUAACACGUAGGUAAUCUACCUUUUGAACGGGAACAACCCAGGGAAACUUGGGCUAAUGCCCGAUAAGCCCACGUCCCGGGAGGGAUGAGGGAAAAGGCGGGGCGAAAGUCUCGCGUCGAAAGAUGAGCCUGCGGCCUAUCAGCUAGUUGGUAAGGUAAAAGCUUACCAAGGCGAAGACGGGUAGCCGGCCUGAGAGGGUGAACGGUCACACUGGGACUGAGACAUGGCCCAGACUCCUACGGGAGGCAGCAGUGAGGAAUUUUCCGCAAUGGGCGCAAGCCUGACGGAGCGACGCCGCGUGAGGGAUGAAGGCUUUCGGGUUGUAAACCUCUUUUGCAGGGGAAAAAGGUACAUGUGCUCAUACCACGUGUAUUUGAUGGUACUUUGCGAAUAAGCCCCGGCUAACUACGUGCCAGCAGCCGCGGUAAUACGUAGGGGGCGAGCGUCGUCCGGAGUUACUGGGCGUAAAGGGCGUGUAGGCGGUUGGAUAAGUCUGGUGUGAAAUUCUC